rnacentral:rRNA from 1 species
ACGGAGGGUGCAAGCGUUGUUCGGAAUCACUGGGCGUAAAGCGCGUGUAGGCGGUUCGAUAAGUCGAGUGUGAAAGCCCGAGGCUCAACUUCGGAAGUGCAUUCGAAACUGUCGAGCUUGAGUACGGGAGAGGGAAGUGGAAUUCCUGGUGUAGAGGUGAAAUUCGUAGAUAUCAGGAGGAACACCGGUGGCGAAGGCGGCUUCCUGGACCGAUACUGACGCUGAGACGCGAAAGCGUGGGGAGCAAACAGGAUUAGAUACCCUGGUAGUCCACGCCGUAAACUGUGAGCGCUAGGUGUAGCGGGUAUUGACCCCUGCUGUGCCGCAGCUAACGCAUUAAGCGCUCCGCCUGGGGAGUACGGCCGCAAGGUUA